AAUCAACGCUGGCGGCGUGCCUCAGACAUGCAAGUCGAACGCGUAAAGGUUCCCUUCGGGGGAUAAGUAGAGUGGCGUCCGGGUGAGUAACACGUAGGUAAUCUACCUUUGGGUGGGGAAUAACAACCGGAAACGGUUGCUAAUACCGCAUAAUGCAGCGGCACCACAUGGUGACAGUUGUUAAAGCGGGGGAUCGCAAGACCUCGCGCCUAAAGAGGAGCCUGCGGCGGA
rnacentral:rRNA from 1 species